rnacentral:rRNA from 1 species
GACGAACGCUGGCGGCGUGCUUAACACAUGCAAGUCGAACGGAAAGGCCCUGCUUUUGUGGGGUGCUCGAGUGGCGAACGGGUGAGUAACACGUGAGUAACCUGCCCUUGACUUUGGGAUAACUUCAGGAAACUGGGGCUAAUACCGGAUAGGAGCUCCUGCUGCAUGGUGGGGGUUGGAAAGUUUCGGCGGUUGGGGAUGGACUCGCGGCUUAUCGGCUUGUUGGUGGGGUAGUGGCUUACCAAGGCUUUGACGGGUAGCCGGCCUGAGAGGGUGACCGGCGACAUUGGGACUGAGAUACGGCGCAGACUGCAACGGGAGGCAGCAGUGGAGAAUAUUGCACAAUGAGCGGACGCGUGAUGCAGCAACGCCGCGUGCGGGAUGCCGGCCUUCGGGUUAUAAACCGCUUUCGCCUGUGACGAAGCGUGAGUGACGGUAAUGAGUAAAGAAGCACCGGCUAACUACGUG